CACUAAUCAUUAAAGGGAGAAUUGAAAUGAAGUUUCAAUUCACAAAUCGAUAGUUAAGAGUAACAUCGCCCACUGCCUCGCUAAUUGGAACCUAAUGGAUCGUACACCGAGUAAGGAUGUUAUGUGAAGAAAUUAUAUGAAAUGGAUAAGCAAUUAAAUGGUUUAAUUGAAGAAUGGUCAAGAUUAGUUAAUUAGUUAAUUAAUUUUACGAAAGGUUCGUAUUGGGCAUAUUUGUUGGUUUUGGGUUUCGGGGCCCAAAAGCGUUUUGGUCCAAAGGCCCAUUAUAUGUUCAAGUUGUAUGACAACUAAAACAAAAUGGGCAAAUAGCCCAAUAACACCAAGGAGGGCCGGCCAUUAAGGUGAAUGGGCAAAGUUUGCUUAAUUGCAAGUUUGCCACUCACCAAAGAAAAGGUUAUAAAAGCCACUUUAUAGCUAUUUUCAAAUUAGGGUUUUUCUUGUUGAAAUUGGGUGAAACAUUUUCUCCAUUUUCUUCUAAGGAGGCCGGCCACUAAAGGAGGGGACAAUCUAGCAAUCUCUUCUUCCUUUAGUCAUCCAUAUCAUCUUCACAAUAUACAACCUUGGUGAAGAGACUUAGAGACAUCAAGCUUUUGAUGUUUUUGGAGAACAAAUCCUUUUUCCUCUAAUCAUCAAAGGAGCACUAAAGGGAGGAAAACACAAGGAGGAUUCAAGGAGCUUGGAGGUGACUUGAAGGCCCUCCACUUGGGUGAAUCCCUUGUGUAAACAAGGAUGAGCUUCAAGGGUAAAUAAUCACUAAAUCUUUACUUCUCUUUAAUUUUGUUAAAGAGUUUAUUUUGGUUCACCAUAUACUAGGCUUUGAAAGUCAUGGGUUUUAUGAAUUGUUUUUGGAUGCAUGCCUACUUUAAAGUGUUAAUAGCUUGCAUGUGAAUUCAAAUGUUCAUACUUGUUCUUAGCUAGGACAAAAUUUUUCCUUCAAGUGGUAUCAGAGCCUAGGCCUAGUUUAUGGUGAAUCCUUUUGGGUUUUGUGAUGUUCAUAUUUUGUGAUUUAAAUGUUGUAAAUGUUACAAGCUUUGUUCUUGCUUUUGAAUAUAUAAAUUUUGCUAGAAAAUUUAGCAUCUCAAAUGUUGUAGAUGUAUUUCAUAUAAGCAUGAAUAUUGGAACUAAAAUUUGGUGCCAUAAAUUUUGGGAAAUUCGGCCAAAUCCUUAGGGUGAUUUUUUGGGUUCAUGUUUGUCUUGUUAAAAUGGUUUUAAGGUGAUUUAUGGAACCCCUAAGUACCCUAGGAUAAUAGCCCUCUUUUGAGAGGUAAAAAUUUGAGUUUUGGUGAAUGAAAACAUCCAUGGAACUAUUAUGAGUUUUCAUGGUGUUCUUCAUUGUUCUUGGUGUUCUUGCCAAGAACAUAAAGUUUUGAAGUUUUGAUUCAAAAGUUUUAUGUUUAUCAUAAAGUUUUGGUAUAUAAUUGAUUUAUUAUUUGAUGGGUGAUGUUAUUGGUGAGAUGUGAUGAAAUGUUUUAAUGUUUUGUCAUAAACUUUAAGUCUUUCUUACAAACCAUCACCUUCACCUUUAACCUCACCUAAUAAAAUCAACUUGCAAAAACUUUUUAGAAAUUUUUUCAAUUUUUCAUUAAAUGGCCGGCCACCCCUAGUGGGGGUCCUUUUGGGGCCUUUUGUGCAAUUAACAUAAAGUUUUGAUACUUUAGUGUUUUUGCAUUUUGGCCCAAAAGUUUACGUUUUUACGUUUAGGCUUAAAAAAACUCUAAAGGACAAAUUGUUUUGAUCCUUUAAUGAUGUUUUUACAUUAUUAAAAUUUUGGGAUCUAGUUGUAUUUACAUGAAGUUGUGGACUAUUGUGUUUAUACAAAGUGACCCCAAAAGUUUUUGUAUUUGCAUUAUGGCCCAAUUGUUGUGGUCAUAGUUUCCUUUUGGCCCAAAUAAAAUGAGAACAAAAUUGUUUUGUCUCUUUAAUGAGAAUUGGAUUUUCAUUCUAUUUAGUUCCAUUUAAAUCAAUUCUAUGGAUCCAAAAACCAAUUGUUUAAAGAUGCUUUCUUAGUUAAUGUGAUUGAUUAAGAAAAGGGUGAUUAUGAACCAAAGGCCACGAUAAUUGAGCUAUGUGAUUGGCCGCUUUACAUUAUGAAUGUUUGGGUUUGGUAGUGUAGAUUUGAAUGUAAUUUGAUUAAUUCAAUUUGUUGUAAAUGGACAUAAGUCCAUCAUUUGAUUUAUGUUGUAAAAGGGCAUAAGCCCUUAUUAUUAUUUCAUGUAUUCCUUUUUGUUUAUAUGUAUGCAAAAUGGAAUAGUUGGGUCCAACGCCCAAUAGGAAAUAACGGUUUAAUUAGAUUAAACGCGUAACUAAAAUCAACAACUAUCUACCUUAAACCCAAGGUCCAACACAAGGCUCGUGUUGGAUCAAAUCAAUCGGUUCAUAAUCAUCCUAAGACCUAAUAUGACUACAUAAUCCAUAUGAGGAUGCAAUGCAUUCGUUAGUAGUUCCAUAUAGUCUCGCUUGUUUCAACGAAACAGUGGGAGUAUUAUAUGCUACUAAUUCAUAUUGACUUGGACCAAUAGUUGUGAUAGGCCCAAGUUCUUUUAAUAUGAUUAAAAUGUUUUGAUGUAGCCCAAAACUACUCCCUCAAAACCGAAUAUUAAGUUGAUAAGCGAGAUAUGCUUUGAACAUCUCUUCGUAGGCCUUCCACCGUGGUGGGCUUCAAUCGUUUGUGACUCAUACACCGUAUUCGUCCAGUUCUGGGGUAUGCAAAGUAUGUGCUUACAUUCAGGAGAAGCCCAUAAACAUAUGAUGAAGUGAAAGUAGGCAACGAGUGUGGCCAAUAUGGAGUUCUUCUGAGGCCAUUCUUGAACCCCUACUUGAACUAGCAUGGUGGGAAUGACUUAACUAAGUGCAAUGGUGCCAAUAUGGAGUUCUUCUGAGGCAUCAUUCUCUAGAGGCCAAACUAGAUGGGUAAUUGCAAGAGGUUGUUGCAAAUGAGUAAGCGUACUCUCUCAUCAUUAUUGUUGCUAGCCAAUAUGGAGUUCUUCUGAGGUGGGCUUGGUAAUGGUGAGUCUCCCAUAACCCGCUAAGAGUUCAAUAUAACUCUCGAAUUCUAUUGAGGGAUGUGGAAUUUGCCAAAAAUAGUGGGUGGUACUAUUUGAUUCAAAGACCCAAUCAAAUAGUUUUAAACAAACAAUCUAAUACGAUUUCUGUUAUGUUAUGUAGUGAACGACAUGCCUAAAAUUAUACCCACCAUUAUACUUGACAAAAGGGGCCUUAAGGGCCAACGUUUCCUUGCUUGGUAUCGCCACAUUGAGAAUGUCUCAAAGGUGAAAGACAUAUUGUAUGUGCUUAAGCAAUCCCCUCCUCAUGUACCUCCUACGAAAUUAGCUUCAAAGGAGGAGUGUCAAAACUAUGUUAGACACUAUGAGGAUGACUUACAAGCCAAAUGCUUGAUCCUUACUUCACUUAGUGAGGAGCUUAUGAAGCUACAUAAGCACAUGGACACUUCUUGUGCCAUGGUUGAAAGUUUGCAUAAGAUGCAUGACAUUGAGACUAGUAAUGUACGAUUCUCAAAUGUUUGUAGUCUAAUGAAUGCCAAAAUGGCAAUGGGGACAUCGGUCCAUAAACAUGGACAAAAGAUGGAAAAGAUAUUUAAAGAUCUUAAAAGUUUAGGAACUUCCAUCGAUGGGAAAAUGGCCCAAGACUUUUUCCUUGCAUCUCUCUCGGAUGAUUUCACUAAGUUUAUUGUAAACUAUAAAGUGAAUAGAUUCGAUCAUUCUUUGAAAGAGAUGAUUGACAUGUGCUGUAGAUUUGAAAAAGGUUUCAAAAUGGACAGUGGGAGUGAGAUUGCAAACAUAAGGAAAAGGUUGCAUAAGAAGAAGGCAAAGAAAUCCAAAGGAACAUGCUUUCAUUGUGGAAAGGAUGAACGUUGGAAGAAGAAAUACAAGGUGCGCAUUGCGAGCCUUAUGACACGAACUUUUGAAGAGACUAUUUCUGUCAUAGAGAGUGCUUUUACAGUGAGCUCCAAUUCCUGGAUAUUUGAUUCAGGCGCUAGUCAACAUAUUUGCAAUACGUUGCAGGGACUAGCUGGGAGCAGGUCACUGCGCAAUGGGGAGAUGGUUGUGCGAGUUGGGAACGGCACUAAAAUCUCUGCAAAAGCAAUAGGCACCUACAUGCUUAACCUACCCUCUGGGGAAGUCCUGGAACUUAAAAAUUGUUUAUAUUUUCCUUCAUGUAUAAAGAAUUUGAUUUCUAUCUCUAAGCUUUUACGAGAUGGGCACUCAGUAUUGUUUGACAAAAUGAGUUGCACUUUAUACUUGAACGGUCGUAUUAUCUCUCAUGGUAAUAUGAUAGAGGGACUUUUUCACCUAGAGACGAAUAGUGGGACGCACUGUAUUGAAAGCGGGAAUACCUCAAAACCCAAAAAGGGCUAGAGAAGAAGUUAACCAAGAAAAGAUGUGGCAUCUUAAACUUGGACAUGUGAACCUUGAUAAGAUUCGCAAGAUGUCGAAAGACGGAUAUAUCCGCCCAUUAGGUAAUGACCGGAUGGGUACUUGUGAAUGUUGCUUAAAAGGGAAGAUGACCAAAUCUCCAUUUACUGGAAAAGGAGAGCGUGCCACAGAAAUUCUAGGGUUAAUCCACACUGACGUUUGUGGACCUAUGUCUACUACGUCGAGAGGAGGCUUCUCCUACUAUAUCACAUUCACCGACGAUCACUCUCGGUUUGGCUAUGUGUAUCUUAUGAAGUACAAGUCAGAAUCCUUUGAAAGGUUCAAAGAAUUCAAGAAUGAAGUUGAGAAGCAAACUGGGAAACAGAUAAAGACCCUAAGAUCAGAUCGAGGGGGUGAAUAUCUGAGUAACGAGUUCCUAGAUUAUCUCAAAGAGUGUGGAAUAGUAUCACAGUGGACUCCACCAGGAACUCCUCAGCAUAACGGAGUUUCUGAACGGAGAAAUCGAACCUUGAUGAACAUGGUUCGUUCUAUGAUGAGUUCUGCUAAUCUACCAGUAUCAUUCUGGGGAUACGCUCUAUAUACAGCAACUUACUUGCUUAAUAGAGUACCUUCCAAGUCAGUUUCACAAACGCCAUAUGAGAUAUGGCAUGGCAAAAGCACAAAUCUUAAUCAUAUUAGGAUUUGGGGUUGUCCGGCUUACGUUAAAAGGCUUGAAGCUGACAAGCUUGAAGCAAGAUCUGUUAAGUGCUAUUUUGUGGGGUAUUCCAAACAGACUUUGGGAUACGAAUUCUAUAACCCUGACGACAAGAAAGUCUUUGUCGCCAGAACUGCUAUAUUCCUUGAAGAUGAAUUCGUUCUCAAUGGAAGUAGUGAGAAAACGAUAGAAUUGAAAGAAAAUUAAUGAGAUUAAUGAUGAACCACAAACUAGCACUCAACAAGAUGACAACCCUGUUCCUGAACCCCUAGCUCCACGUAGAUCUGAACGGGUUAGUAAGCCACCUAAGAGGUAUGGCUUAGAAAAUGACUUUGAUGAAUUGUACCUUCUAGGUGACAAUGAAACAAAGGAGGACCCUAGAGACUACACUGAAGCAAUGUCCGACAUUGAUUCAAAGAGAUGGCAAGAGGCCAUGAAAUCCGAGAUGGAUUCCAUGUAUCAAAAUCAGGUCUGGACUCUUGUAGACCCUCCAGAAGGUAUUGUACCUGUUGGAAACAAAUGGGUCUUCAAGAGGAAGAUAGGCGUUGAUGGGAACGUGGAGACUUAUAAGGCUAGACUAGUAGCCAAGGGUUACAGGCAAAGAGAAGGGAUUGACUAUGAAGAAACUUUCUCUCCUGUAGCCAUGAUUAAGUCCAUUCGGAUUUUGCUUGCUAUAGCUGCAUACCAUGAUUAUGAGAUAUGGCAAAUGGACGUGAAGACGGCCUUUCUGAACGGCUACCUAGAGGAAGAGCUCUAUAUGACUCAACCCGAAGGUUUCAUGUCCAAGUCUGAAAAGACUAAGGUAUGCAAGCUUCAAAGGUCCAUUUAUGGACUUAAGCAAGCCUCAAGGAGCUGGAACAUUCGUUUCGACACUGAAAUCAAAACGUUGGUUUUACUCAAAACGAAGACGACAAAUGUGUUUAUCAAAAGGUCGUUGGGGAAGCAGUAGUAUUCCUAGUGUUAUAUGUAGAUGACAUAUUACUAUUCGGGAAUGACACUGCAAUACUUUCUUCUGUAAAAGUGUGGUUGUCCAAAACCUUCCACAUGAAAGAUUUAGGAGAUGCAUCUUAUGUACUUGGGAUAAAGCUCUAUCGUGAUAGAUCCAGAAGAUUAAUUGGAUUAUCCCAAUCUAUGUACAUUGAUAAGGUGCUAAGUAGGUUCGAAAUGGAACAUUCUAAGAAAGGUUUUCUUCCUGUGAGACAUGGAAUUCACCUUUCUAAGGCCAUGGAACCUAAGACUCCUGAAGAGAUACGGCAAAUGAGUUGUAUUCCUUAUGCUUCUGCCAUAGGAAGUCUCAUGUAUGCCAUGAUAUGCACAAGGCCAGAUAUCGCAUAUGCUGUGAGCAUUACUAGUCGAUAUCAAUCUAACCCCGGAUCAGAACACUGGGCAGCUGUCAAGACGGUCCUUAAGUACUUAAGAAGAACUAAGGACAUGUUCCUCGUAUAUGGAGGAGCGGCAGAGUUGCGAGUGGAAGGCUAUACGGACGCAGAUUUCCAAUCUGACGUCGAUGAUAGAAGUUCCAACUCCGGAUAUGUAUUCACUCUGAAUGGUGGUGCUGUCAGUUGGAAGAGCAAGAAACAAAGUGUAAUUGCUGAUUCCACAACAGAGGCUGAAUAUGUCGCUGCAGCUGAAGCCGGCAAAGAAGCGUUCUGGAUGAAGAAGUUCAUCACUGAACUUGGGGUGGUUCCAACCAUUACAUCACCAGUAACUUUGUACUGUGAUAAUAGUGGGGCGAUAGCUCAAGCCAAGGAACCCAGGGCACAUCAAAAGAACAAGCAUUUUGACAGACGCUUUAAUAUCAUUAGAAGAUAUGCUGCCGAAGGGAAAGUCAACAUUUCAAAGUUGCUUCAGCCGAUAACGUAGCAGAUCCACUGACAAAGCCAAUGUCUCAAAUCCAGCUUGACCGUCAUAUGGAUAAGAUGGGUAUUAGAUACAUGGGAGGAUGGCUUUGAUUCCAAGUGGGAGAUUGUUGGAAGUAUGCCCACAAAGCCACUCAUUUGAUGUAAUAGCUUUUUGGAAUACUUAAUGUAUUAAACUUUUAUAUGUUUAAUGAAGGGCAAAUCUUAUUGUUAAUCACUAUUUAUUGUAUCAUGUGUUUAAGCAAUAAGAGAAUCCAAGGAAUGUAUUUGUUCUAAGAGAUAAGUGAUCUAAGUGAGUUAGAUUAUCGAGACCUUUCUCUUAUGUUCAUUCCUAAAACGUUCCUAGCCAUUGGAUUGCCAAUUGGGCAUUGACAAUCCGCUAAGGUUAGUAUGUGUUGUGUAAGCGUGAGUAUGACUACUCUCAAGUCAUUUGGUGUUGGACACUAAGACAAACACAUAGGUGCUCGAAAGAGUAAUCGAGUACACUGAACUACGAUCAAAAGAGAGUUCGAACAUACAUGUCAUGUAUGAACUCUAAAGUUACAAUAUGCAAAGUAGUCCUUUGACCUGAGGCAUCAUAGAUGUCUAAUGGUUAGGUCCUUGAUCUUUGAUCAUGUCAAACGACAUUCCAUAGGAGUGUCCACGGCAUUGUUGGGGUCAAGCUAUCUAGUCAUGUAGGCAUAUGAAUGCACAACAAGGGAUCUCUAACCUUCCAUGGUGGAGGGAGAAUACUCUAAGAUAUGAUUCUAAAGUCUUUGGCCAAAGCAAAUGAAUAUGACUUAGGAAGUUUGUUCCAAAUCAUAUUCAAGGGAAUCAUAUAGGAAAGUAUCACAUUGGAUAGUAGACAUGAAACAAACUAUCACUUAAACAAUGUGAUUAAGAGUAUUGUAUUAGAGAAGGACCGUAUUGCAUUGUAGUUGUAACUGGAUAGGUUCUCCAACCAAUUCUACUUAGCUUGGGUAACCAUGACAUACUGCUAGGUGUCACUCAUGGUUUGUGGAAGCCCAAAUGAUUAGGUACACUAAUCAUUAAAGGGAGAAUUGAAAUGAAGUUUCAAUUCACAAAUCGAUAGUUAAGAGUAACAUCGCCCACUGCCUCGCUAAUUGGAACCUAAUGGAUCGUACACCGAGUAAGGAUGUAUGUGAAGAAAUUAUAUGAAAUGGAUAAGCAAUUAAAUGGUUUAAUUGAAGAAUGGUCAAGAUUAGUUAAUUAGUUAAUUAAUUUUACGAAAGGUUCGUAUUGGGCAUAUUUGUUGGUUUUGGGUUUCGGGGCCCAAAAGCGUUUUGGUCCAAAAGGCCCAUUAUGUUCAAGUUGUAUGACAACUAAAACAAAAUGGGCAAAUAGCCCAAUAACACCAAGGAGGCCCGGCCAUUAAGGUGAAUGGGCAAAGUUUGCUUAAUUGCAAGUUUGCCACUCACCAAAGAAAAGGUUAUAAAAGCCACUUUAUAGCUAUUUUCAAAUUAGGGUUUUUCUUGUUGAAAUUGGGUGAAACAUUUUCUCCAUUUUCUUCUAAGGAGGCCGGCCACUAAAGGAGGGGACAUCUAGCAAUCUCUUCUUCCUUUAGUCAUCCAUAUCAUCUUCACAAUAUACAACCUUGGUGAAGAGACUUAGAGACAUCAAGCUUUUGAUGUUUUUGGAGAACAAAUCAUUUUUCCUCUAAUCAUCAAAGGAGCACUAAAGGGAGGAAAACACAAGGAGGAUUCAAGGAGCUUGGAG
rnacentral:lncRNA from 1 species